UCAAGAAUUUAGUUUUCAAAUAUUUAUUAAAUUUUGAAAACCCGGCUAAGUGAAUCAUAGGAUGAUAAGCACUUCACCAUGACUUAAGAUUAGAUUGAGAAAACCUAUUAAGAAUAGAAUUUCUUGUAGGCUUUAUGAACCAAGGGGAUUAGCGCUGCUUUCCCAAGACGAGUUUAUGUGAUUAUGAUCUUCAGGCUUUGCCUAUCCAGGUUGGCUGGCCGGUGCUGACGGGACGGAGCUGAGGCUAGCGAUAAAUUCCUAUGUUAGACUUCCGCUGUAGCAAUUACUCAUAUCAGUCUUUUGUUUUCCCAACUUAAGAUCUUCAUGUUAAAUUUCAAAUGAUAUACCUGACCGAGCUUAGACUCUUCACUACUAAAUAUAUGUCAAUGAAUGUCGGUUGUCAGAAGCAUGAAACAAAACUUGUGAUCCAAAGGGGCAUAGCCCGACUUUCUAUCCUAUUUCGGGUUUUUACAAGGUAUUUCCCUUGUU